rnacentral:lncRNA from 1 species
AUGGAAGGGUUCAAGGGCGAGGCCGCGGUGGUGAGGGAGGCCGUGCGGGGGCACGUCGUCGGCGUCGCGCACCUCACGGCCGACGCGCUUGCCAUUGUCAACGCCAUGGGCAAGUCCAUGGGAGUCGAUAUAUGCCGCGGUUCUUGCAAAUCCACACCGACGCCGCCGCCUGCUACUGCCCCAUAGAAACACCGAAAGCUCCACAUCGAGCAAAAAGAAAAAUGGUUUCAAUCAUCCAUAGAUGUCAUAUGUCAUAAGUGUUGUAGCUUUGCUAAAAAAAGGACCGGCCCUAGUAGCUAAAUAAAGUUUUCGACACAUGUCUAGACAGAUAUCUGUAUAAAAAAAAUCAAUCACUACUAUAAAAUUUUUUUCGUAACAACAUUUUCAUCAAUAUAUAGUUCAGUAAAAAAACAUUUAUGAUAAUAUAUCACCAAUUUUCACUGCCAAUCUGUGUGUGCCAAUGGUUGAUGAAAAUAUUUGCACUAUGUCUCUAUAGAAGCCCGCCCAGCUCAUAUCAGCCGCUAAGAGCUUCUCCACCAGAUUAAUUUAAACACAUCUCCUUACCCUAAAAACAACAAUAAAGGGGACUGGGGUGUGAAAAAAAUAUGCUUCACCAGAUCCCCUUUCCAACCCUAUCUCUCCUUUUUUUUCUCUCAAACCCAUAAACCCCUCAAAACCAUCCCUCUACAAAAAGAAUCGGCUAAAGAAAAUUAAGUACACAAAUGAUUUGACUUUGUGUAAUCAUAUUUUUUUGAUAUUUUGAUAGAAAAUAAUUUCAUUAGAAUUAUCGAUAACAAGGUGUUGACAUCACUCUAGAACUUAUAAGAGCAUACAUAUUGUAAGUGGUAUAAUUCAUUUGAUUUAUUACUUGUAAUUGCAACAUAAUUUUUAAACACUAGGCUUUGCACUUGUGUUUUGCAUCAACACCAUCAUCAAAACUCACAUUUUAAUUUGGAAAACUAUCUGUUGUGUGGCGCACUAUCCGUCCACCACUAACGGCUCAGGUCGACACAAUUUAGACCAUGGGCGGAUCUAUAUAGCUGGCAAGGGGUGCGACCACACCCACGAAAAUAUGAAAAAGACAGUAAUUAUGAUUAAAUUUUCAUCAUAUAUCCACCUCUACGAUAAAAUCUUAUGCAUUCAUAGGCUUAAUGCACCUCCCUCAAAUUUAUUCGAGCUCCGCUACUGAUUUAGACAACAAUGGACAAUCCACCCGAGCACGACCAUGCAGCCCCACCUCCUACGCGCAUGCCGAGCUAUGUGGAGCCAUGACAUGCAUGGGUUCAAAUCGGCCAAGCCACCACAUGAGUGGGUACAAACGCCGGUGAAAAUUUUGCAACUUAAGAAAGGGGUCAAACGGAGUGAGGGACCGAAACCUGAGAGGAAGAAAUUUUCUCCUUCUAAUAUUAGAUAGAUGUAGAUAUAAAUUUAUUACAAUUUAAUGCAAUUAUUAUAUUUGUGAAAUGAUGGUUGACCAUGUUAUUCUUAAUUUGUACGUUCGUGUGAAAACAUGCAAGGACUAACUUGCUGCAUAAAAAAUAACUAUAAUUGGAAAAUAUAAUUUUUUGAAUAGAACUAGGCAAAGAAGGAUAUGUUUAGAUCUCAUCAAUUGAAACCAAUAUCUAGAAGGUGCUUUUUAUUUUAUUUUAAAAUAUUUCUAGUUUCUCUGAAUUUCUAGGAACCCACGUAGCAGGGCCUAAGCUAAGUGAUUUAGAACCAGCUUGGCAGAGCUCCCAAAAUAGCGUCCAAGUUGAAAGCUAGGUAGGAGAAACUAUGCUAAACAGUUUUUUUACUGAGAAGUGAUUUUUUGCACAUAUCUGUGAAGUGCUUCUUUGAAAUGGACUAAAAGGCAGGGAGCUGAAAAAAGUAAUUCCUCUUGAUUGAUUCCAUGCAUAAAAUCAUUAUAUGCAUAACUUGAAGUAGGAGGAGCUCAGCAAACUGGCCCUUUACCCUUUUGCUGAUUCAACGUGCCGUGAAAAAACAAGAAACCUUUUCUGCUUAGAAAUGUUUCUAGUGUCUAACGAUUCACUAGUUUCGGAGAACCGCAACUGAAACGACCUAGAUUUUUCCACAAAGGGGAAAAAUCCUCAGAUUCAAAUUAUAAUGUGAUAAUUCAGAAAUUGAGCCAUCACAUUAUCAUAUAUCAGCUGUUAUCACAGUCACACAUCGUGAAAAAGGAGAUUACAACACAUUUACUUUACAACUCUUAGUUAACAAGCCUAUUACAUCGUUUUACUAGCGGAAACAUACACGAAUCUUUAUCAGAGUUGAUGUAGCGCGUCAACGGUGAAGGCUCCUCCUUCACAGGCAAUCAUCAGAGUCGGCGUAGUUUAUCAGCGGGCGUAGCCUUCAUCUCCGAACCAAACUUGAGCGCAUGAACGAGACCACCUAAUCCUUCUAUUCUCCGUGGUUAUCGUCUUAGACCACGUUCAACACCUGCUAAACAAUUUUCAGUACGAUUUGUACUGGCCACUGGCUCCCACCCUAUGCUUUUGCGUAAGCUUUGUGGUAAGUGGAAUGCAAAGGGGUAGAUCAAGAGGCCUAUAAAUAUGGUUGUAGUCUUUCCUAUGCAAGUUCAUCAAUAUUUAAUAAUAAUAUUCAUCAGGUUUUAAUCCAUCUCAACCACACAUCCAUCCAUCCAUCCAUCCAUCCAUCACACACAUCUCACCACACUCUCACUCUCUAGGCGGCAAGUACGACUCCCGCUCGUGCCUUGCCUCAACGGCCAACGCCGGAUCCAACACAAACCCAGGGGAAGGUAGAAGGGACUCCUCUCUCUAGUCAAGUGAAGCGGAAACAUAGGAAAGGUCCAUAGCCGAAAACGGCAUAUGUAUCGAUCGAUCGACCAGAAACUCUGCAGAGGUUUGCACUAACCACAAGAUCACCAUCAUCGGUGGUGCGCCCCACCUAGGCUGAUGUCGGGCUGCCUUCCAACUAAGUACGAUGCCACCCUACCACUCAGAACUGGGACCAUACCGGAGUACCACCGGUACGCUGAGACUGUGAGGCGUAGUACCGGGCCCCCAAAGGUCACUACGCUGUCUUAGGAGGGUGUGGGUCCUCAUGCCCGUACCUCCCUACACUGUCAACCAACAACCUAGUAGUAGUGGCACCGCCCUAACUGGUCGUACAUCCGUCUCCUCCCCAUAAGAGCGAGUGGGGUGCAAGGCUUCCUACGAACCGGUUCUCAGAACAUCUCAGUCCUUAGGGUGACCGAACAGGACAUCUUCACGAGGGGCCAACCGAUGCCCGGCUCGACGGGACAUCCGAUUACCCCGUGUUAAACAGCACCUCCCAUCCCGGUGCUUCGUCCCACGAAGACACUCCACUCCGGGACCUCUCCCUGUCACAUGUACCCGCCACAGGUAUCUCUCGUGGAGAACGCCCAGGUAGCGUCCCCCGGCAAGACUUGCCCCAAGACUCGUCGUAGAUCCUGCUCGGUCGACUCAACCCUCACCACACACCCAAGACACACGCCAAGAUCUCCCCAAAUCCAUUACUAUCUCAUUAUCCAGCUUUUGGCACCACGUGCCUUAUCCACUCACUUCCAGUCCUCCACAAUGCAUCACAUCACAGAUAUAAUGCGUAGUAGAAGCAGUAGCAAGUAGUAUGCAAGCAUCUAACCUAACAGCGGGUGUGCGAGGAUUAUAGGUUGCAACAAGGCAAUGGCUCACAAGCAUUUCUACCAUGCAACCUAUCUCAAUUCAUUUGCAUAAAAGUAAAGCACUAGCAUCUACAUAUUGCAUGUCUAAUAGGAUUCUACGAGGUUGGGUGGGACGUGGCACCUGUCGAGUGACAUUUCCAGGAUCCUCAGUUCACUUGUAGUUGUACUCAUCCAAGGUCUUUCUCCUAUCUGCAUGUCCUUCCUUCGACUGGUUCCGAUUCGAUCAUCGCUAACCGAAGCAACUACCUCAUAAACGACAAUCAAGGCGAAACAAUCAAACCACUAGACCUAGAAAGAUCGUGAUAAGAGGCGACAAAACACUGAAGAACAACUACACUAAAAGAGCACCGAAAGGAAAACAACUUAGCCCUCUCGGCGGAUGUCCGAUCCCUGGGCUAAAAGAAACGGGAAUGGUUGUUCACUAAGUACAAGCCAGAGUCUUAGCCUAGCCGGUACUUCCCGGGUUAACUCAGUCAACCUGUACGGCUUUAUUAAAUGGCUUAGACUCUAACUCAUUCUAAGCAAACACCAUGGCUUACGGUCUUCCGAUCCAAGCGUCAUAGAGAUUGACGAGAACCAAACGGUUGUAAGCACAAGAAACUCUGAUCUCUCUCAACCCGUACGCCAUUAUGAUUGACGAGAGUCAAGAGAGGGUGGAACGUGAGAGAAGAGAAAAGGGGAGCGGUCUACUCCUUCCAAUCCACUUGCCGUGGUAAGAGACGGGGAAUCAGAAAGAGUGACACACAAGAACACGAGUGCUUAAACACUUGUAGGGUACCACGACCUAGGUGCACUAAAUGCACUAAGACAUCCCUAGGGUUCAUAGCAGUGCGGUUGUCACCGCGAGAACCAAAGAAACGCUACGGUCAAAUAGGUACAAGCAUACAAGAGUUUAAGUACGAAGAACCAAAAGGCGGUAAAAGACACGGGUUUCACUUUCCAUUGAUCCGCUCGCCAUAUCAACGACGGGAAUCGCGGGAUUGGAAACAAAACAUCAAACAAGCAAAAAGGAGCUCAAUCCACAUCUUACUGGAUCGACGGGGAUUGAGAACAAGAGAGAAGAAGAAGAAUGGGGUCCACGUUCUUUCGACCCAACUCAUCAUGGAACGAACGACGGUUGGAUAAAAAGUGAUGCGACCCCACGAUCUACUCCAACUCAAAACGCUUCACGACCUAGGUGCUUCUGACUCGGCACAAGGUCAUUCCUAUAGUUCUAGGCGAUGCGGUUGUCAUCGCGGGAACUAGGGGAAAUGCCCGGGUCUAGGUGGCAUAAGCAUACGAGACAGAAUAAAUAAACAUGCGAGAAAAAUGGGAUAGGCUCAAUGGCCAUGGCGAGGCGUCUCGCGACCAUGAGCUUCACCUAACGAGUUGGCUUCCGACUGUUCCACGAAGGUUGUCCCCUAAUUCGUAUCCCACUCGACUAGGUCAUUUAGGUCUCGGGUGUGCGGGUAAGAACCGCGUCGUUAACGACAUCGAGUCCACGAUGACCAUGUCCGAGGGACGGGAAUAGGAGCUAACGACCGUAGCGCAACGAAGUCAACUAAACACAAGGAAUGAGUUACGCUCGGCAUCACGAUCACGGCGGGACGAACCCACGAUCGAAAUGAUCGAACGCACUACCAUUUCCCUAACCGGCUCGAAGGCUCGGUCCUCAGGCAACGACAAACACAUAAAGAAUCACGACUCGACCAAAGACAACACAAGGGACACGAUGACAACUCAGAGUAGCACAUUUCCAUAACACAAGAGAUAGAUAGAGAUAGAUAAAUAAACCGGCACGAAGGCACGACACAGGCAUGGAUAUAGAUAAAUCAUAUAACAAGUGCACGACAUGGAUGGAUCAUAUAUCGACAAGGUAGGAGAUGUAUGAUCAUGUACAGAUGAUAGAUAACGAAAUGAUAUAUGAACAAAUAUGAUUUAAUAUGGAGUUCCAACGUCGACUAGGGUUUAGGGGGGGUUUCGACCUUGCCGAACACGAAGAAGGGCGUAGGUCAGCUGCAAGUCUUCUGCUUGGCUGGCUGUGGCUCGCUGCGGCUCGGCUGGAGGCAGCAGGCAGCGAGAAGGCAUCACUUCUUCGGCCAAAACACAACGGGACCAAAACUUCCCUGCAACAGUGGAAGAACACGGCACGAAGGCCGGUCUCAGCGAGGCGAAAUAGGAAGGGGAAAACCUUGGUCUGGGCGAGGCUCACCGGGGGUUUGGCUUGGCGAGGUCGUGCACAGGAGUUCGACGUGGUGACCGUGGCGAGGACGGGGACGCCGCGGGCUCCUGGGCGAGGUCACGGCGUCGUCGUGGUGGCGCAGAUCGAUAUCGGGGUCACGGUCGCGGUCUCCAUGGCUGGCAUGGACGUGGUCGUGGACACCGGACGAGGUCGCGGUGCUUGGCGUGGGCGCGGCCACGGCGGUGAGGUGCUCGGCGAAGAGGGGGUCCGCGGCUCCUGGCGAGGUCCGGGACACGGGCGAUGCAGAGCUUGACGGAGUAGGACUCGCCGAAGUCGGCGUCGCGGCUCCGGUGUCGCCGCGUCGGGGCUUCGAGGUGCUCGGCGUCGACGAUCCAAGGGCGAGGUCGUCGCGAAGGUCGCGGCCGGGGCGAGGUUGGUGCUCGGCUGCUGGGAAUGGAGCAGACAGCGACGGCGGCCAUGGCUUUUAUACGCGUCGGGCUAGGGUUCCAGGGGGAGCCACGUUCAUCCUCGGCGUCCGUGUCAGCUGCGGGACACGCGGCAGGCAUCAGGAUCGAGGGGGAUGGGGUGCGGGCAGGGACAUGGGUGCAGGGGGCGGUUCUGCCCACUCUGGGCGGUGGCGGCGGCGGCUCUGGGGCUCAGGGGUGCGCUAGGGUUAGGCGCUGGGGCGGCUUGGGCCGAGAGGGGUCACGCGCGCGAGUUGGGCCGGGCAGGUAGCUGGGCGGCGACAGGGGCAGAGGGGAAAGGCGGGCCAGGCGGUGCCGAGGCCAACUGGGCCGCAGAGGGGGAAGGGUGGCUGGUUGGGCCAGAGCAUGAGCUGGGCUGGCGAGCUGGAGGGGGAGGAGGGGGAAAGGAAUCCUGGCCCAAGAGAAGAAGGAAGGCUUUUCCAUUUCUGGAUUAAACACAAAAGAAUGAAAACAAAAGGAGAUCGGAUAAAAUCCGAUGGAGUUUGAGACGUACUCCAACAAAAAGUUGAGAAGGGAUUCACUUCGCCUUUGAGAUAGGCUCCACGAAGAUUCGGGAAGACUUUGCUACGGAUUUGUGCACUCCAAAAGAAACUCAAAACCCUAAACAAGACUAAACUCCAAACCGACUCACGAACAAAAGCACUCACCUAGAAACAAAUCUAUAUGUAUGCCACGAUUUGUUUGCGGGUUAGGAUCGAUUUAGAUCUAAAAACUAUAUGCUUCACAAGAUUACAAGAAAAUUUUAAAAAGCUCGUAUUUUUGGUUUUCGUAAAAAUCUAGGAUGUUACAGACCACCCUCCUUACAGGAAUCUCGUCCCCGAGAUUUAGGCAUUGCUCGGUUGGUGAAGAAACGAGGGUGUCGUUCCCGAAGGUUUUCUUUCUUCUGAGUUGCUUUGCUUCUAGUAUUGUCGCUCCACAAACCUUUUCCAAAAUAGGAGUGAGUCAUGUUCUGGGUGCAUCCAGGGCUCAGUGACGGGUGUUGGGUGUCCAAUUUCUUACGCCAAGGCGAUGGGUAUCCAAGAAUCGCACCAGGUUGAUGAACAUCUAGCUCUCAAAGAGUGCUUGGCAGGCUGAAACAUAGCUAGGGUUGUUGGCUUUCACCAGAUGUUUUUCAUGCAUCACAUUUUGAAAAAGGCUUUUGAAAGGAGGGAUUUUUGGGAAACAGGUUUCAAAAAUUAGAGUGAAAGCGCUUUUACAAAGUCAAUUUUUUUUUCAGAGGCGUCAAAUUGAAGAGAGCUUUUGAAGAGUGUUGAAAUCAAUGCAAGUUUUGAAAACCAAAUCUUCUGAAGGUUUUGUUACAAAAGAUUUCAAAUCAAGAGAUUUUUUUAAAAUUCUUUUAUUUUAUUAUUAUUUUCUUUAAAACAAGGUAUUGCUCCAUUUUUAUUAGAGUCAAACAAACUAGUUUUGAAAGUGAUUAGAAAUCUUUCCUCAUUUGAAAGUUAGAGCCUUCACAACCAAAUCUUGUUUUCAACAUUUUUUUUGAAAGGAUGCAAAUAAAAUCUUUUCGCAAUGGUUUUUGUUUAAUAAAUCACUGGCAAUUUCUUUUUCUUUUAAGACAAGAUGGAUUUUUAAAAGGAAUUUGGCUCCUGAGAUAAAGUCAAAGGCCUUUAAAACAAAACUGAGCCAAAGUUCUUUGGUUUGAAAACCACCUUGUUGAUGAAAAAGCAAAACUUUUAUUUUAUUAUAUAUAUAUUAUUUUUUUGAAGGGGUUUUGUCACACCUUUUGCAAGAUGAUUUGUUUUUAAAUUGUUUCAUAAAUAACUUUUGAAUAAAAUUGAGUUGAGAAAGGGGUUAAAAUUGCUUUCUUUGUGAAAAUGAAAGAUAUUGAGAGAGUUUUGAAACACUUUUCCUUUUGAAACCAAGAUGUUUUUGUAAAAGAGGGAAACUUUUUCAACCAAAAGGAGAGGCAAAUUUUUUUAACCAAAGGGGCAAUUUUGAAGACAAGUUUAGUUGGAAACUGGAAACAAUUUUGAAAUGGUUGGGUAAAACAAGAUGCAUCAGCUUUACACCCUUUUUCAACUAUGUUAUUCAGGGGCACCUAUCUACUCUCGGGACGAUCUUGGGUUUAGCCAGCUAAAUUAGACAGGAUCCAGAGUCUUACUCGCAUAAAAUAGGUUUAUAGCUUACACUCAAACAACAAGAAGCCGAAGAAACACAACAACAUAAGAUCCAAGCACUCAAACAGCAUUACAAUUCCUAAUGCAUAGUGUUGACUUGAGGCGACUCACCGACCUUCAAAGUCUCACACGACUACCGAUCUAGCGUGGGCGGGUAUGGGAAAAGAUUCCAACGGUCAACUUUACGAUACAGGGAGGUCAGUUAGCAGCAGAAUUCAAGGCGGAGGGGAAAACAAGCGUUAGCAUCUAUAACUCUACAAAAGAUAGAAUGUUUGGCUUCUCUACUAGUGUUUGGUCCUAAAGGUCUCGUCCUAGGGUCAAGUAUGGCUCUGAUACCAACUGAAACGACCUAGAUUUUUCCACAAAGGGGAAAAAUCCUCAGAUUCGAAUUAUAAUGUGAUAAUUCAGAAAUUGAGCCAUCACAUUAUCAUAUAUCAGCUGUUAUCACAGUCAUACAUCGUGAAAAAGGAGAUUACAACACAUUUACUUUAAACCUGAGAGGAAGAAAUUUUCUCCUUCUAAUAUUAGAUAGAUGUAGAUAUAAAUUUAUUACAAUUUAAUGCAAUUAUUAUAUUUGUGAAAUGAUGGUUGACCAUGUUAUUCUUAAUUUGUACGUUCGUGUGAAAACACGCAAGGACUAACUUGCUGCAUAAAAAAUAACUAUAAUUGGAAAAUAUAAUUUUUUGAAUAGAACUAGGCAAAGAAGGAUAUGUUUAGAUCUCAUCAAUUGAAACCAAUAUCUAGAAGGUGCUUUUUAUUUUAUUUUAAAAUAUUUCUAGUUUCUCUGAAUUUCUAGGAACCCACGUAGCAGGGCCUAAGCUAAGUGAUUUAGAACCAGCUUGGCAGAGCUCCCAAAAUAGCGUCCAAGUUGAAAGCUAGGUAGGAGAAACUAUGCUAAACAGUUUUUUUACUGAGAAGUGAUUUUUUGCACAUAUCUGUGAAGUGCUUCUUUGAAAUGGACUAAAAGGCAGGGAGCUGAAAAAAGUAAUUCCUCUUGAUUGAUUCCAUGCAUAAAAUCAUUAUAUGCAUAACUUGAAGUAGGAGGAGCUCAGCAAACUGGCCCUUGACCCUUUUGCUGAUUCAACGUGCCGUGAAAAAACAAGAAACCUUUUCUGCUUAGAAAUGUUUCUAGUGUCUAACGAUUCACUAGUUUCGGAGAACCGCAACUGAAACGACCUAGAUUUUUCCACAAAGGGGAAAAAUCCUCAGAUUCGAAUUAUAAUGUGAUAAUUCAGAAAUUGAGCCAUCACAUUAUCAUAUAUCAGCUGUUAUCACAGUCAUACAUCGUGAAAAAGGAGAUUACAACACAUUUACUUUACAACUCUUAGUUAACAAGCCUAUUACAUCGUUUUACUAGCGGAAACAUACACGAAUCUUUAUCAGAGUUGAUGUAGCGCGUCAACGGUGAAGGCUCCUCCUUCACAGGCAAUCAUCAGAGUCGGCGUAGUUUAUCAGCGGGCGUAGCCUUCAUCUCCGAACCAAACUUGAGCGCAUGAACGAGACCACCUAAUCCUUCUAUUCUCCGUGGUUAUCGUCUUAGACCACGUUCAACACCUGCUAAACAAUUUUCAGUACGAUUUGUACUGGCCACUGGCUCCCACCCUAUGCUUUUGCGUAAGCUUUGUGGUAAGUGGAAUGCAAAGGGGUAGAUCAAGAGGCCUAUAAAUAUGGUUGUAGUCUUUCCUAUGCAAGUUCAUCAAUAUUUAAUAAUAAUAUUCAUCAGGUUUUAAUCCAUCUCAACCACACAUCCAUCCAUCCAUCCAUCCAUCCAUCACACACAUCUCACCACACUCUCACUCUCUAGGCGGCAAGUACGACUCCCGCUCGUGCCUUGCCUCAACGUCCAACGCCGGAUCCAACACAAACCCAGGGGAAGGUAGAAGGGACUCCUCUCUCUAGUCAAGUGAAGCGGAAACAUAGGAAAGGUCCAUAGCCGAAAACGGCAUAUGUAUCGAUCGAUCAACCAGAAACUCUGCAGAGGUUUGCACUAACCACAAGAUCACCAUCAUCGGUGGUGCGCCCCACCUAGGCUGAUGCCGGGCUGCCUUCCAACUAAGUACGAUGCCACCCUACCACUCAGAACUGGGACCAUACCGGAGUACCUCCGGUACGCUGAGACUGUGAGGCGUAGUACCGGGCCCCCAAAGGUCACUACGCUGUCUUAGGAGGGUGUGGGUCCUCAUGCCCGUACCUCCCUACACUGUCAACCAACAACCUAGUAGUAGUGGCACCGCCCUAACUGGUCGUACAUCCGUCUCCUCCCCAUAAGAGCGAGUGGGGUGCAAGGCUUCCUACGAACCGGUUCUCAGAACAUCUCAGUCCUUAGGGUGACCGAACAGGACAUCUUCACGAGGGGCCAACCGAUGCCCGGCUCGACGGGACAUCCGAUUACCCCGUGUUAAACAGCACCUCCCAUCCCGGUGCUUCGUCCCACGAAGACACUCCACUCCGGGACCUCUCCCUGUCACAUGUACCCGCCACAGGUAAGAGACGGGGAAUCAGAAAGAGUGACACACAAGAACACGAGUGCUUAAACACUUGUAGGGUACCACGACCUAGGUGCACUAAAUGCACUAAGACAUCCCUAGGGUUCAUAGCAGUGCGGUUGUCACCGCGAGAACCAAAGAAACGCUACGGUCAAGUAGGUACAAGCAUACAAGAGUUUAAGUACGAAGAACCAAAAGGCGGUAAAAGACACGGGUUUCACUUUCCAUUGAUCCGCUCGCCAUAUCAACAACGGGAAUCGCGGGAUUGGAAACAAAACAUCAAACAAGCAAAAAGGAGCUCAAUCCACAUCUUACUGGAUCGACGGGGAUUGAGAACAAGAGAGAAGAAGAAGAAUGGGGUCCACGUUCUUUCAACCCAACUCAUCAUGGAACGAACGACGGUUGGAUAAAAAGUGAUGCGACCCCACGAUCUACUCCAACUCAAAACGCUUCACGACCUAGGUGCUUCUGACUCGGCACAAGGUCAUUCCUAUAGUUCUAGGCGAUGCGGUUGUCAUCGCGGGAACUAGGGGAAAUGCCCGGGUCUAGGUGGCAUAAGCAUACGAGACAGAAUAAAUAAACACGCGAGAAAAAUGGGAUAGGCUCAAUGGCCAUGGCGAGGCGUCUCGCGACCAUGAGCUUCACCUAACGAGUUGGCUUCCGACUGUUCCACGAAGGUUGUCCCCUAAUUCGUAUCCCACUCGACUAGGUCAUUUAGGUCUCGGGUGUGCGGGUAAGAACCGCGUCGUUAACGACAUCGAGUCCACGAUGACCACGUCCGAGGGACGGGAAUAGGAGCUAACGACCGUAGCGCAACGAAGUCAACUAAACACAAGGAAUGAGUUACGCUCGGCAUCGCGAUCACGGCGGGACGAACCCACGAUCGAAAUGAUCGAACGCACUACCAUUUCCCUAACCGGCUCGAAGGCUCGGUCCUCAGGCAACGACAAACACAUAAAGAAUCACGACUCGACCAAAGACAACACAAGGGACACGAUGACAACUCAGAGUAGCACAUUUCCAUAGCACGAGAGAUAGAUAGAGAUAGAUAAAUAAACCAGCACGAAGGCACGACACAGGCAUGGAUAUAGAUAAAUCAUAUAACAAGUGCACGACAUGGAUGGAUCAUAUAUCGACAAGGUAGGAGAUGUAUGAUCAUGUACAGAUGAUAGAUAACGAAAUGAUAUAUGAACAAAUAUGAUUUAAUAUGGAGUUCCAACGUCGACUAGGGUUUAGGGGGGGUUUCGACCUUGCCGAACACGAAGAAGGGCGUAGGUCAGCUGCAAGUCUUCUGCUUGGCUGGCUGUGGCUCGCUGCGGCUCGGCUGGAGGCAGCAGGCAGCAGGCAGCGAGAAGGCAUCACUUCUUCGGCCAAAACACAACGGGACCAAAACUUCCCUGCAACAGUGGAAGAACACGACACGAAGGCCGGUCUCAGCGAGGCGAAAUAGGAAGGGGAAAACCUUGGUCUGGGCGAGGCUCACCGGGGGUUUGGCUUGGCGAGGUCGUGCACAGGAGUUCGACGCGGUGACCGUGGCGAGGACGGGGACGCCGCGGGCUCCUGGGCGAGGUCACGGCGUCGUCGUGGUGGCGCAGAUCGAUAUCGGGGUCACGGUCGCGGUCUCCAUGGCUGGCGUGGACGUGGUCGUGGACACCGGACGAGGUCGCGGUGCUUGGCGUGGGCGCGGCCACGGCGGUGAGGUGCUCGGCGAAGAGGGGGUCCGCGGCUCCUGGCGAGGUCCGGGACACGGGCGAUGCAGAGCUUGACGGAGUAGGACUCGCCGAAGUCGGCGUCGCGGCUCCGGCGUCGCCGCGUCGGGGCUUCGAGGUGCUCGGCGUCGACGAUCCAAGGGCGAGGUCGUCGCGAAGGUCGCGGCCGGGGCGAGGUUGGUGCUCGGCUGCUGGGAAUGGAGCAGACAGCGACGGCGGCCAUGGCUUUUAUACGCGUCGGGCUAGGGUUCCAGGGGGAGCCACGUUCAUCCUCGGCGUCCGUGUCAGCUGCGAGACACGCGGCAGGCAUCAGGAUCGAGGGGGAUGGGGUGCGGGCAGGGACAUGGGUGCAGGGGGCGGUUCUUCCCACUCUGGGCGGUGGCGGCGGCGGCUCUGGGGCUCAGGGGCGCGCUAGGGUUAGGUGCUGGGGCGGCUUGGGCCGAGAGGGGUCACGCGCGCAAGUUGGGCCGGGCAGGUAGCUGGGCCGCAACAGGGGCAGAGGGGAAAGGCGGGCCAGGCGGUGCCGAGGCCAACUGGGCCGCAGAGGGGGAAGGGUGGCUGGUUGGGCCAGAGCAUGAGCUGGGCUGGCGAGCUGGAGGGGGAGGAGGGGGAAAGGAAUCCUGGCCCAAGAGAAGAAGGAAGGCUUUUCCAUUUCUGGAUUAAACACAAAAGAAUGAAAACAAAAGGAGAUCGGAUAAAAUCCGAUGGAGUUUGAGACGUACUCCAACAAAAAGUUGAGAAGGGAUUCACUUCGCCUUUGAGAUAGGCUCCACGAAGAUUCGGGAAGACUUUGCUACGGAUUUGUGCACUCCAAAAGAAACUCAAAACCCUAAACAAGACUAAACUCCAAACCGACUCACGAACAAAAGCACUCACCUAGAAACAAAUCUAUAUGUAUGCCACGAUUUGUUUGCGGGUUAGGAUCGAUUUAGAUCUAAAAACUAUAUGCUUCACAAGAUUACAAGAAAAUUUUAAAAAGCUCGUAUUUUUGGUUUUCGUAAAAAUCUAAGAUGUUACAGCAACCGUUUCGGCUCCAAACGGGCCCGGAAAAUGUCUUUUUUUUUUGCAACAGUCCCCGAAAAUGUUUGUACUCGUCUUCCAUGGAAGUAUCGCAUAUGCCUGCCAACGCAUUUAAAUAAGAAGAAUAAGAAAAAUAUCUGCUAGUGUGUUCGCAAAAUGAAAAUAAAAUAUCUGGUAGCUUCUCCCGUUCUCCAUGUCAACUAGGAGCAGUGUGCUUCAUCAAAAAAAAAAAAACUAGGAGCAGUGUGCCGAGCUAGUACCACUGCAGUUCAGUUUUGCCGUUAGCUAACGGUUUCGCUCGACAGACGAUACAGCUCAAUCAAGAUUCAUGCUGUGUGUAGAGAGAGAGAGGGAAAAGGAAAUCAUUGGCUGAGCCGCUGGGAUAGCCCGUGCGGCACGUGGGCUUGCGGGCCUGCCUUCCCCGGGCCAGCCGAUGGCGAUCUGAAACAGAAGACGCCCAGCGCCAUUGAUUCGGUCCCCCCCUUGCCCUGAGGCUCAAGCUGCAAGAAACCUCACGUCAUCACCUCACGACGAUGCCCCCACCACCAACCUUGGCACGUCCGCGCGCAGCACCGUCGUCAUGAAUUCCAGUGAUCCCGUAUUCUCGUAGCGGCGGACUAGCAGCCACCCCAGCCGCAUUCCCGGGCCGGGACCCCGGCCGCGCGUCGGCGUCGCCGUACGUCUCGCGAUCGAUCGCUUGACGGCCAGACGCCACGCAAAUUCCCCGCCAGCAGCUCAGGUUGGCUCGAUCAGCGGUUCGUACGUGCAUGCUGCGGCCUCGAUCGAUCGGCGAAUCAAAGGCGAGCAGCCGAGCACCCUCCACCUCUAUGCCAUCCCACAGAAAAGGGCUGGAGAGGCCAGCCGCCGGCGGCGUCGCCUACUACGUAUCCUGGCAAUCCUGGCCAGAGACGACGUGCCGGUUGAGCCAGCCAUACGUACAGGCCGCGCCCUCAUCGUCCUGCUGCUGAGUGCUGACUGCCCCUAUAAAACUCGACGCUGGCCGGUUCUACACACCACUUGAGAGUCAGAGAGCCGGAGGCAGCAGUAAGAAAACACGUAGAAACCGUACGCGCGGCGCCAUGGCACGCAGCAGGGCCUUGCUGUUGUUUCUUCUCGCGCUCUCGUGCUGCUGGUCGUGGUGGUGCGGCGCCGUCGUCGUCACGGCGCGGCCGACCCCGAGCACCACCACCACAGCCGGCGGCGGCGGCGGCGGCGGCUUCAUCGCGUCGUGGUGCGCGGGGACGGACUACCCGGCCCUGUGCAACGCGACGCUGGCCCCGUACGCGGCGGAGGUCGGGGCCAGCCCGGCGCGCCUGUCGCUGGCCGCGCUGACGGUCACGCUGGGCGGCGCGCGGAAGGCGACGGCCGCGAUGAAGGCGAUGGCGGCGGGCGCGAGCAGGAGCAGCCCCGUGGCGGCCGAGGCGGCGGAGGACUGCGUGGGCAUGCUCGAGGACGCCGUGGGCCUGCUGCGGCAGUCGGUGGAGGCCAUGGAGCGCAUCGGGAAGGAGGAGGAGGAGCCGAGCGGCAGCAGCGGGCAGCAGGGCGGGAGCGGCAGCAGCAGGAGCGUCAGGUUCCAGGUGAACAGCGUGCAGACGUGGGCGAGCGCCGCGAUGACGAACGACGACAUGUGCGUGGAGGGUGGCCAGGCCGCCGUCGUCAGGGAGGCCGUGCGGGGGAACGUCGCCGGCGCCAUGCACCUCACGGCCAACGCGCUCGCCAUCGUCAACGCCAUGGCCAAGCAAAUAUCGUAGGGUACGGUGUUAUAUGCACGUGUAUAGCAUGCAUGCAUGUGGAUGCCUUGUGUAUAUAACUAUAUAUAUAUGUACGUAUACGCCUCUGUGUGUGUGUUGUUGCUGUCGUCGUCGUCUGAGAUUAGAGCGGUAGUCGAAAUGAUCACAUCUGAUCCUAAUUUGUUUAGAGCCGCAAAUGGAAGAAUCACGGAUUGAUUGUCGUGUGCUGCACCCGUGUCCGGACAGUGCAAUGGAAGAAUCAUGAUUUUAAUUUGUUGUUAUGCGUUGUUCUUCACUUUUCUAAGGCCUUGUUUAGUUCGCAAAAAAAUUUGGAUUUUUGCUACUGUAGCAUUUUUAUUUUUAUUUGACAAAUAUUGUCUAAUUAUAGACUAACUAGCCUCAAAAGAUUUGUCUCGUAAAUUAUAGGUAAACUGUGCAAUUAGUUUUUUUAUCUAUAUUUAAUGCUAUAUGCAUGUGCCGCAAAGUUUGAUGUGACGGGGAAAGAUUUGUCUCGUAAAUUACAGAUAAACUGUGCAAUUAGUUAUCUUUUUUAUCUAUAUUUAAUGCUCUAUACAUGUACCGCAAAAUUUGAUGUGAUGAAGAAUCUUAAAUUUUUUGGGAACAAGGCCUAAGUACUGGUGCGACGAGCAGAAGACCGUGCCGAAUCAGAUUGGAUACUAAAGUUGAGUCUGGAGUCCUUUUGAUAUUCGCAACUGGUACUCAAUCAGGAAAUGUGUUUGUACCAUUCAAAUUAACAGGAACACACUCUGCUGUCAGUAGAUUGAUGAUGAAAGACAAGUAGUGGCGCUUGAGCUUAUCAGCCGAAUCUACCAGCUAUUCAGCAGUGUUUUUCUCUCACAACAAAUCAGCCAACAACAAAUCAGCCAACAAUUUCCUGCCAUGGCUUAUCAGCCAAACGAAUAAAACGGAUCUAUUUUACUGGUUCGGGUACUAUAACUACUGUGCAAUGACUGCUCCCUCCGUUUACAACAAAAUGCAAUUUUUGCCUUUUGAUCAUAGUUUUUAGGACCGGAUCGGAAAUCAAACCGGCGAGACCGUCGGUUCAAUGGUUCAAUGGUCCAAUCGUUAGGAACCGGUUGAACCGCCGGUUCGAUUGUUUUGAACCGGACAAAUCGAACCGGCCACAAAAUAAUUAAACCGGUAUAUAUAUAUACAAGUGCUAUUCUACAUCCUAGGUGUAGAAUAUUAUUCUACACCAAACUGUUAUACUGAGCAGAAUUCAGUAUCAUUGAGUAUUUGUGUUUCAGUAUUGUUCAGUAUUUCAUGGUCCUAGGUGUAGUGUUGGAUGAUACUGAACGAUGUUCAGUACUGCUUAGUAUUAUUUUCAGGUUAGUUUUGACUUGCGGUGUAGAAUAAUAUUCUACACCUAGGAUGUAGAAUAGCGCUACCAUAUAUAUAUAUAUAUGCAAAUGCAACGACAUGUUCUUAAUAUAUUAUAAACACAAAGUGAAGCAGUGAAGAAUAUCGAUAUUGAUAACAUAGCUUUCAGCUUAACACAUAGUUCAUAAUUUCAUAUUCAUAGUUCAUAAAAACAGUCACGGGCUCAUGGCUAGCAAGGCAGCAACACAACCUCACAGGUUCUUUAAUACAAAAAAUAACAACAUGCAUGAUGCCGUGAUAAACUGGUAACAAAGUUCCAAACAAGUUCAUGCUAAAAAGACAAUCAUGAACACAAACAACAGACAUUUCCCUCCCCAAGCCGCCCAGCGCCAAAAGAAGCCCUAAAGAUGCAAUUUCCAUGAAUACCCCUGAGUAGACCAUGUCGUUCUGAACAUCCAGAGAGGUAACUUUGAAAAAACUCAAAACAUCACCGGUUCGCAUAAAACCGCCCGGUUCAAUGGUUUGACCAGAAAACCGGCCGGUUCAACCGGUUUUCACCGGUUCGAUUGCAUUCCGAUCCUCUAAGGUGAACCGGACCGGUGAAGGCUCCGGUUCGGUAUUUUACCGGUCGAACCGCCGGUCCAGUCCGGUUCGAAUAACUAGGCUUUUGAUAAAUUAAACAAUUUGAACUUUAACUAGAUCCAUAUAUAAAAAAUAUUAACAUUUAUGAUAAAAAAAUUACUAUUAAAUUAGUUAUAGAUUUAUUUGGAGACAUAAAUACUACUACUAUUUACUAGUAUAAACUUGUUCAAACUUGAACUUAUUCGACGGACACGUUCAUAAUUACAUUAUUUUGUGGAGAGGGAGUACACUUUACACACACCGAAGCCUAUCCAAACUUCCAAAAGGCCAAGCGCUCGUCGGUACCAGCAGAAUGUCAGGAGAUCCAGAUUUCCAUGGGCGACAUUCCAUUCGACCGCAGAUUCACUGUAGCCUGUAGGCAUGAACACAGGAAAUGGAGAGUAGUUACAGGUUAUAUCGAUUCAUAUUUGCACAACAGACACGACAACCAAAGAUAUCGACAGAAUUAUUGGCAUUCUCAUCGACAGUUUGCACUCUGCAGGUGACACUUGGAUGGUUAUCUUGGGCUUUCAGCAAGAUACAGUUGGUGGGUUCUGGUUCCCCGUCAGCGCUAAUUUUAGCUACAGUUGUCGCAGCCUUUUUCUCCGCCACACUUCUGUGACGGCACCACAACUUGCAUGGCUGCUAGUGGCCAGGAACCAAACAACCCCACAAUCGAAACAUGGAAAAAAAAAAUCAAUAGGACGGUUCCAUGGCACUCAUGAGCACACACCAUGUCCAUACACAUGCAUCCAAGUAUCCAACGCAUGUGACUAUCGCUUAAAUUUAAGAGAAACAAUUGAACAAAAACUCCAAUUCUCUUAUUCGUUAAAUGCAUGUAAACGUCUAUGUAUGAAAAAUCCAUAAGGCCUUGUUUGGAUGUAGUCGGAUUCACAUCAAUCCACAUGUGUUGGGGUGGAUUGGAGUGGAACUUGAACUAAAUUACACCCUAAUCCACUCCAACACAUGUGGAUUGAGGUGAAUCCGAUAACAUCCAAACAAGGCCUAAAGGGUGCACGUAAGUGUGGCAUGGAAAUAGUCCAGACUGAUCCCCCCCCCCUACCCCACCGAACAGGUACCAGUUGCCGAGAGUUGAAUUCAGCACAUGAAAGAACUUGGUGAGUAGCAACUUCCAGCGCAACAGAAACAUGGACACAAACAUGAAAAAUGAGAUUACCAACACAUGCUCCAUUAGCCUUUAGCUCGCAAAGCACGUCAACCACUACAAAUUUUUCAUACCCAGCAAAAGGGAAGAAGUAAAAAAAAAGGAAAAAGGAAAGAGGAAACAAAUAACCCAUGAUUGCUGACAAAGUUGUACACCAGUUGCCAGCUUCAUUACGAGACUAUUGCACUUGGCCGGUAUUUAACUCGAAGUUUGUACCCUUUCUAAUGGAAACAAAACUAAAAUGUCACAGCAUUCAUGAAGCUCUCUUGGGAGGAGACAUAUUCUGCAGGAGUCUGGUAGUUGUAGCUAUAACCACCAUUUGCAGCAGGAUACCUAGCACGGUGAAGGAACGCAGACCACAAAAGUUAGCAACAAAUACUUUGACUAUAACUUAAGAGAUUUAGCUAUAACUUACCAAGAGCAACACGAACAGCAUCAAGCAUUUCAUAGCUUGUGAUGGCCUCUGUGUUUUGCUUCAUAACCUAGGCAACAACCAAAUGCAAAUAGCUGAUGUCAUCUCCCACAAUGCUUGUUAUAAUUAUCACUUCAUAGAGCAAAAGACUAAUUCAUACAACCCAGGAGGAACGAAAGCAAAAGAAAACAAAAUGCCUCAAAUUGACUAAGACCUAAGAUUAAUUCAAGUUUAUCUAACACUGGAAUAAUGGCACAAACAUGACAGGUACUUUCAGGAUGAAAUCUGCCUGAGUUAUUGCUGGUGGAAUUAUUAAGAUUAAGAUAUGGGUAUCAUGUUAUACCAGUAAACUACUUCAGCCAUGUGGGCAUGACAAUGAAAACUCGACCUGCGGGGGUAUGGGCAUGACAAUGAAAGGGAAUGAUCUUUCGCACUGAUCGAGAUAAUAUCAUCCAUCCUUUUUCCUUGAUCUAUCUACAGAUAUUUUUCUUCUGCCGAACUUGUCAAAUCUAAUGUGAUGCUGAUGCUCUGUCCUUACUCAAUGUGGAGAAUCCAGCUUCCUCAUAGCUGGAUUAUCCCAAAGAUGAAGUUGGCCUCAAUUUGUCGGCCUUAUAUCUGGUGACAUAGUUUUGGGAACAUGGAUUCACUACCAACACAUUCAGUACUAGAGGUAAUUUUGCCUUCUCUUUUGUGCUGAUUUGACACCCGAAUCAAUUUUUUUGUUGGUGAGUGUUACACCAACAAAAUGGAGCCACCACUUAAUGCUCGAUUAGUUUAUUCAGCAGUAUCAUAAAGCCAGAUCCAAAAUUGAAUGAAAUCAUGGACAAUUCUUACAUUUACAUCUAACUUAAAAACAAACAUUCUAGAUAGUCCUGGACACCCCUCGUUUAAGAAGAUUCACAUCAAGCCAAGCCCAUGUUGCAUUGAACUUGGUAUCAAACACUACCCAUGCAGGCUGAAGGUCAUUACUUUAUUUCGAUACUUUUGUGUCUCAUUCUUGCAAACGUACUCCUCAGGUGGGACUUCAACUUGGGGUUACCUACCUCUAAAGGUUCUACAAAAGGGUACCAUUUGCAAAAUUUGUACUGCACGUUUUGUUAAUUCACAGUUGCACUAUGCAAUGCCCAUCUUGACUCUUGAGAAUGAGCACAAUUCUGUUAAGUCAUUAAUUAACCCCAUUGGCAGGACUAAAGUGAGAACAAUAAGACUAUAAUUGCUGCUUAAGCUGCAAUCUAAAUGAAGUAACGAUCUUAAUGAGACAACCUGUUUCAUUUCAAAAAUGAAGGCCGAGCUCAUGUUUUUAAUUGGAUGGCAUCAAGAGGCAGAAAAAUAAUAAACUUGCAAGAUAUACAUCUCCACUCUCAUGACUUGCAAAACAGCGAGAUUCUGAAUUUCAUAACCCAAACCUUCAAGAACAACUCUGACCGGAUAAUGCACGUCACAGAGAAUGCAACCGCAAUUGAUGACAAGCUUGUGUAAAGCCGAAGCAGCACUGCCAUAGUCCGCCUUCGCCCUGUGAUGAAUAACCAAAUAACAACAUCAGCUAGAAUGAAUCAAUAAUCCGACAAAGUAUGAUUGAUAUGGCAUUGGAAAAAGGAUAUCCUUUGAGGAAAACAUGAAUGGGGGUGUUAUUUCUUUAAAAGCCCAUAUGCCAAAGGCAUCUAGAGAAAGUUUGAAGCUUAUAUGUGGAGAUUUAUAUAAUAUAAUGGUUGGUUUGGAAGGUCCAUAAUGAGGUAAGCUUUAAAGACUACCAGCUGAUCCUAAUAGAAUGGUGUCCACUUUUACAGAAAAAAAAAGAAUGGUGUCGACAAAGAGAGCAAGAUGAUAGUAUACCAGCUUGCUUAUUCUGGCAAACUACAGCAGAAUGCUUAAUCCAUGGCAAGAGUAUUGAAAAAAUCCCUCUCCUAUCUUACUAAUCAGAAACCGAGAAGCCCGUCAAUGAAAAAUUGACAACUGACGUAGAAUUUCAUAUUUCACUGCCCAUGACAUUCUAGUUGACACCUCUUCUUUUUAUCAGUGCCAAGUAUCCUUUUAUAUUGAACUUAAGACUUGAAAAGUUGUAAUCUCCUAUUGUGGUUUUCUUCACUCGAGGCUCAAGAUCUAGGUCGACCUAGUUCUUUUUUGUUGGUGGAAGAAAUAAGGAAGUAUGGAACUAGCAGAAUUGAGGUUAACACAGCAAUAUCACCUAAUUCCCCAACCACUAUAGCCACGAAUCCCGCGGCCACGGACAGCACGGCGAACUUGUUCACCGCCGCCCCCUUGGACAACGACAGCAACAGAAGCGCGCCUCCGACCACUAGGUGCAGCGCCUGUAGGAGCAAACCACCAUAGACACUCAUCAGAUCAACAACCGCCAACAACGGCAAGAGAUGGAGGAGCCAGUCCAGGAGCCAAGCUUGCCGUCACCUGCACGAGGAUGAGGCGCGCGAGGCGGGAUCUGCCAUCGGCGACCCUCUGGUACCCUGCAAAAUUGCGAGGUUAUAAGAGAGGCGUUGGAAGCGAGGCUUUGGGGGGUCUGGGCGGUGGAUGCUUACGGGAUUCGACGACCAUGCGGUAGGAAAAGUCUGAGCCAUCCGUGCCCGACGGCCGGCCGGAGGCGCCGCGCCGCAUCGCUCCGACGGUGAGGAGGCUGCUUCGUCCAAGGGACUAUGGGAGACAGUUCGCAGAAGGGCGGCUAGUCUUCGACUCUUCGUGUCAAGGUGAAUACCGAAAGACGCCUUCCGACUGCAAACACGGAAACUGCCACCAGUCGAACAGCCACCCCGAGCUCCGGCUAUGGAGGAAACCGCCGCCGCAGCCGCUGCUUGGGCAUCUAAUGCCGCCACGCCCGCCCCGUCCGAGCCCACGGGAUCCCCUGCUGAUGCCGGAGCCUCCGCUGAUCGUACCGCCGUCGGUGACGAUGAGCACGACUCCAAGGAGGUCGUCCUGCGCAGGUACUUCCUCCAGGAGUGGGAGUUGGUCUCCGCGAUCCUCCGCAGCAUCGUCGCCGGCGGCGGCGUUGCCGAAUCCGCCGAUGUCCACAGGAUCCGCUCUAUCGUAAGCAAACUUCUCUUCUCCCUAUAUCCAAAUGCCCCCUGCCGGUGAACCUUAGAUCUCUGAGAGAAGAGUGUGUAGCUCUGAGAGCAACAUUGACUUCUGUUUGGUUAUUUUGAAUGAUAUAAUCUGCUUUAGCGUCUGCUUUUAAAUGCACAACAGCCAAAUUCGAAGAUAUGAUGUACAAUAUCUUGCAACCUUUUAGUCGUCUAGGAGGAAGUUUAAACUGUUUGGUUGAGGUUAAUCUGUGAAUGCACAUUUUAUUGCUAAUAUAGGAUAGCAAAAGCUGAGCUGAGGUACAAAUGACUUACAUGAAUCAAUCCUAUGUCCUAGAAUGAUAUGUUGUUUAGGAAUUACAUUCUGCUUUCCCUGGUAAAAAAAAGGUUCUGUGAGAGAGUUAUGACUGAUCUAUUACCACCUCUAUAGAAAAAGGUAAGAGGCAAAGUUCCACAUGAUGUGGAAACUAUUAGCAUUAGGAAAAUAACUGAUAUAUUUAGAUAAUACCCAGCCAUCCUAUUUCUGACUUUAAGUGUAAAGAGUUAUACUCCUUCUGUUCCAAAUGUAAGGUGUUUUAUCAAGUUUUUCUAAGUCAAACAUCUUCAAGUUUGACCAAAUUUAUAGAAAAACAUAGGAACUGUCCAGCACCAAGCAAAUA